GAGAUCGGUAAAAAGCCCACAGUGUGGUUUGGCUUGGAAGAACCAAUGCUCGUCAUGCUUUCGACGAGUAAGUCUAUGCAGCUCGGCAAAAACCUUUGAUGUGGGCUCGAGCUUCUUGGCUAGGCAUAAGCCUCUGAAAGCCACUAGAAUUUGCCAUGAGUUCGGAUGUACUUGGGCUAUACAUACUUGGUGGAAUUUCAGAACUUCCUUGAAGAAGUCAUCGAGAGAAAACUGUAGCCCGGCUUUUAAUUGCUCAUCGUAUAUCAUGAUCAUAUCAUUUUCCUCGAAGAAGUAAUCAGCUCGGUGAUCGCCAUGACAUUUGAUAAGCUCGUAUGAAUCGGUCUGAAGGUUGUAUUCUUGGCUAAUUGACUGUAGAUCGGUUUUUUGAAGGAUUGACGGCAGCUCAUCUAUGGGAAGGCUCUCUCUCCCUGAGGAAUGCGUUCGUCUUGAGGGUGCCGCUUGACCACGGGCUGAAACGGAGGUUGUAGGAGGUUCAGAUCGCCCACUUGGUCCGACCACUUCAACUUCAUCUGACGAUCAUGA
rnacentral:misc_RNA from 1 species